AUUGAACGCUGGCGGCAGGCCUAACACAUGCAAGUCGAGCGGCAGCGGGAAAGUAGCUUGCUACUUUUGCCGGCGAGCGGCGGACGGGUGAGUAAUGCCUGGGAAAUUGCCCAGUCGAGGGGGAUAACAGUUGGAAACGACUGCUAAUACCGCAUACGCCCUACGGGGGAAAGCAGGGGACCUUCGGGCCUUGCGCGAUUGGAUAUGCCCAGGUGGGAUUAGCUAGUUGGUGAGGUAAUGGCUCACCAAGGCGACGAUCCCUAGCUGGUCUGAGAGGAUGAUCAGCCACACUGGAACUGAGACACGGUCCAGACUCCUACGGGAGGCAGCAGUGGGGAAUAUUGCACAAUGGGGGAAACCCUGAUGCAACCAUGCCGCGUGUGUGAAGAAGGCCUUCGGGUUGUAAAGCACUUUCAGCGAGGAGGAAAGGUUGAUGCCUAAUACGUAUCAACUGUGACGUUACUCGCAGAAGAAGCACCGGCUAACUCCGUGCCAGCAGCCGCCGUAAGAC
rnacentral:rRNA from 1 species